GAUGAACGCUGGCGGCGUGCCUAAUACAUGCAAGUCGAGCGAAUGGAUUAAGAGCUUGCUCUUAUGAAGUUAGCGGCGGACGGGUGAGUAACACGCGGGUAACCUGCCCAUAAGACUGGGAUAGCUCCGGGAAACCGGGGCUAAUACCGGAUAACAUUUUGAACCGCAUGGUUCGAAAUUGAAAGGCGGCUUCGGCUGUCACUUAUGGAUGGACCCGCGUCGCAUUAGCUAGUUGGUGAGGUAACGGGUUACCAAGGCAACGAUGCGUAGCCGACCUGAGGGGGUGAUCGGCCACACUGGGACUGGGACACGGCCCAGACUCCUACGGGAGGCAGCAGUAGGGAAUCUUCCGCAAUGGACGAAAGUCUGACGGAGCAACGCCGCGUGAGUGAUGAAGGCUUUCGGGUCGUAAAACUCUAUUGUUAGGGAAGAACAAGUGCUAGUUGAAUAAGCUGGCACCUUGACGGUACCUAACCAGAAAGCCACGGCUAACUACGUGCCAGCCGCCGCCGUAA
rnacentral:rRNA from 1 species